UCGAUGGAUGGGUGUGCAAGGCGCAGGAUCAAAGCAACAAGUCCAGGGUGAGAGCGGGAGGAACUGGCAGCCACACGCGGCACAGUGCCACUAGUGAGGGCCCCACUCGUGCCGCCGCCGGGUCACCUUCUUCCUUCUCCUCCUCCUCUCCUCUCCACCUCUCCUCCUCUUCUCCAUUGCUUCCUCCAUCUCCUUCUCCCUACUCUGACGCUCUUGCUUCUGCUACUUGCAGGGGACGGAAGCUACUACUCUCUUUCUCUCGUUUUACCUUAUCUGGCGUCUUUCGUCUACACAUCUCUUCCUUUCCUGCCUCUUGAUUUUUAUCCACGCUUUCUUACUUACGGCACUUUGUUCCUCUAUCCCUCUCUUUCUUCCCCUCUUCCUCUCCCUUCCCGCUCCAUCCCGAUCAACGUCGACGCCAGCGACACCUCGCUCGCCGCCCGAACGUCGGUCUGAUUGUGCCUCCCACUUCGACUCUUCGUCUCUCCGCGGUCGCUUCUUCUCCCUCUCCCUCGAUGUUCGCGCCACUUCUACUCUGCCUCCCCCUUCCUCCAUCCCCUUCUGCCUCGCCUCCGUCUGCGCCUCUUCCUCUGGCCUCGUUCUCUCUCCGCCGAUAGCUGACCGUAUCAGCAGCAGCAGUGAGAGUGUGUGUUUUUCAAGACAGCCAGUGCGUGGAUACACCUGGGCAGUGUCGGCGGCGGUGGUGGUGGUGGGGAAUACAGUAUGGGUGAGCUCGAUUUUAAUACCGCAUAUUUCCCUCUUUUAAUUUUUUUUCUAUCUCUCUUCCUUCUCUACUUUCUCCGCUACAUCACGCCUUCCUGUGCAACCGUCGAGAGGUGUGCGCGGGUGUGUGUAUCCCACGCCCAGGUGGGGUUCCCACCGCCCAAAAAUCAUCCAGCAGCUGCUGGCAGUGUUGUCCAGACAAGGACUUUCCCUUCGCCCCGCCAUCACCAGCUCGUCAGCAAGUCCCAAACACCAUCAACGACACAUAACACACCCGGGAGGUUAACACACAGCCUGAAUCUUGUAUCUCACGUAUCCCUCUCGUGUGAAUGGCUCACGAAUCGCUUAUUCAAAGCCACACACACACAAAAAGCCAUCACUGGUAACAAUAUCGUCAACGCUAACUGCCUCCAUCAACACCGGCGCUGUCUCUCCUCUCUUCGCCGUCCAACAGCCGUUAUGGCCGUUAAAACCGUUACAGCCAUAGUCUGUCGGCGCCAUCCCGCUGUCGCUGGUUUCACCGCCAGCAAACAACCACUCCACUCCAAAGGCUGUGAUUAGAGAGAGAAAAAAAUAGACAAAACCAAAAAAGAAAGAGAAAGAAAAAGAGGUAAAGAAAGAAUAAUAAUCAUCAGUCAGUGGUGCUGUUGCCUCGACGCUAUAGAUCUCCGCUGAGGCUCCGUAACUCUAUGCACGCCGCUCGACACAUUUUUCAUUUUAGUUUCUCUUUAGCUCCCUCUUUUUUGUUUUAAAAGGGUAGGAGGACCCGGUAACAUUUUGGUAAAGAGUAUUCUUGAUUUUUCCCCUUCCUUUUUCGGCUCCGUUCGACUUUUUGGGGGAUGUCAGGUCCCUAUUGAAAGAAGGGGAAAAAUAUAUACCUAUAUAAAGGAAAGAGGACGCAGUUCAUAAGGCUCAAAGGCGCACGAGGGGGAAGUUCACUUUGAUCUCUAUAAGCAAGCAAGCAAGUAAGAAAUCAAGUCGAAAAGCAGUCUACAAACGUAAGAUCCAAGCGAGGUUUACAACAGGCGUAAUGAUGAGGAGCAGCAGCAGUUUUCAAGCAGGUGAUACGAGCCACUCACCGCUAAACGCACAUACGCUCACAUACACACUUACACACAAAGCCCCCAGAAGAGACACAAACAGAAACGCAACAUCUGCGACAGCUGCUACACCAAAGGCAGGCAGGUGGUUGGCGGCGAGAGCAGGCAGGUGGAGGAGAGCUCGCCUCCAUAUCAGCACCGCCGCUACAUCGAGCUCCGACUCUGGCGCGCGCGGCAAACGAAAAAAGAUUAUGCCUGUUAAUACGUCGCUGAGGGUUUGCUGAGGGUAUGGGUAGGUGGGCAAGUCUCGUCCUUGCCCUCUGUCCUCCUUCGAACUCUCUAAGCCACAUCGCAAGCAUCUGAACACCGAGCUCUUCGUCAGAAGCGUGGAUACUUCUUCAGAAUCAUCGGAAGACGAGACAGCAGAGAAAGAGAGAGA